GACGAACGCUGGCGGCGUGCUUAACACAUGCAAGUCGAACGGAAAGGCCCUGCUUUUGUGGGGUGCUCGAGUGGCGAACGGGUGAGUAACACGUGAGUAACCUGCCCUUGACUUUGGGACAACUUCAGGAAACUGGGGCUAAUACCGGAUAGGAGCUCCUGCUGCAUGGUGGGGGUUGGAAAGUUUCGGCGGUUGGGGAUGGACCCGCGGCUUAUCAGCUUGUUGGUGGGGUAGUGGCUUACCAAGGCUUUGACGGGUAGCCGGCCUGAGAGGGUGACCGGCCACAUUGGGACUGAGAUACGGCCCAGACUCCUACGGGAGGCAGCAGUGGGGAAUAUUGCACAAUGGGCGGAAGCCUGAUGCAGCAACGCCGCGUGCGGGAUGACGGCCUUCGGGUUGUAAACCGCUUUCGCCUGUGACGAAGCGUGAGUGACGGUAAUGGGUAAAGAAGCACCGGCUAACUACGUGCCAGCAGCCGCGGUGAUACGUAGGGCGCGAGCGUUGUCCGGAUUUAUUGGGCGUAAAGGGCUCGUAGGUGGUUGAUCGCGUCGGAAGUGUAAUCUUGGGGCUUAACCCUGAGCGUGCUUUCGAUACGGGUUGACUUGAGGAAGGUAGGGGAGAAUGGAAUUCCUGGUGGAGCGGUGGAAUGCGCAGAUAUCAGGAGGAACACCAGUGGCGAAGGCGGUUCUCUGGGCCUUUCCUGACGCUGAGGAGCGAAAGCGUGGGGAGCGAACAGGCUUAGAUACCCUGGUAGUCCACGCUGUAAACGGUGGGUACUAGGUGUGGGGUCCAUUCCACGGGUUCCGUGCCGUAGCUAACGCUUUAAGUACCCCGCCUGGGGAGUACGGCCGCAAGGCUAAAACUCAAAGGAAUUGACGGGGCCCCGCACAAGCGGCGGAGCAUGCGGAUUAAUUCGAUGCAACGCGUAGAACCUUACCUGGGUUUGACAUGGAUCGGGAGUGCUCAGAGAUGGGUGUGCCUCUUUUGGGGUCGGUUCACAGGUGGUGCAUGGCUGUCGUCAGCUCGUGUCGUGAGAUGUUGGGUUAAGUCCCGCAACGAGCGCAACCCUUGUUCACUGUUGCCAGCACGUUAUGGUGGGGACUCAGUGGAGACCGCCGGGGUCAACUCGGAGGAAGGUGGGGAUGACGUCAAGUCAUCAUGCCCCUUAUGUCCAGGGCUUCACGCAUGCUACAAUGGCUGGUACAGAGAGUGGCGAGCCUGUGAGGGUGAGCGAAUCUCGGAAAGCCGGUCUCGGUUCGGAUUGGGGUCUGCAACUCGACCUCAUGAAGUCGGAGUCGCUAGUAAUCGCAGAUCAGCAACGCUGCGGUGAAUACGUUCCCGGG
rnacentral:rRNA from 1 species